CCCGGCAGCAUCCCCUCUCCUGGCAUUUGGUCUUCUAGAUUUGCUUAGAAAUCCAUGGAUUGGGGCAAGCCACGGGGAGCAGUGCCGUGCCUUUGCCUUUGUUGUGUGGAGUGACAGUCCCCGUGGCUGCAAGUCCUCACAAACCAGAAUGGGCAUGUUCCGGUGGAAAGGGAAGCAUUGUCUGCCUGGAAGAACCAGUCACCUCCAGUGGCUGGGAAUGUUUGUGCUUACCCACAGGGCAUGGGAAUGUAUGUGCUUACCUAGCCCAGAAGAGCUAGAGAGAAGAGCCUAGGUAUAAGACAAGGAGGCUUGUGGCAACUCCAAAGGGUCCCCUCUGGUUCUGGAGUGGAACUUACUAGAAAUGAAAGGGAAGUUAAUAGCUCCCUCAUCAGGGAUCUCAAUGUGUGUUUAGGUCCAGAAAAUCAAGGUUCUGGGUGCUCUGAUGGCAACUGUGCUGAGUGUGGCUGUCUGAACGCACCAGGGCUCAUUUGCUGAGCUUUUGUUCCACCUUCCGUGUCAGUUUGGAGGUUUGUUUCUUCAUGCAAUUAUGUCAGGUUCAUUAUUUUUCUUGGGCAUAGAACACACUUCCAACCCACAUGUUGUGGUUUGAAUAUGUCCUCCAAAAAGCAUGUGUGGGAAACUUAGGCCCCAUGCAACAGUGUUGGGAGGUGGGGCCUAAUGGGAAGUGCUCAGGCCAUGAGGACUCU
rnacentral:lncRNA from 10 species